AUUGAACGCUGGCGGCAGGCUUAACACAUGCAAGUCGAACGAGCGGCGGACGGGUGAGUAAUGUCUGGGAAACUGCCUGAUGGAGGGGGAUAACUACUGGAAACGGUAGCUAAUACCGCAUACCAUCAGAUGUGCCCAGGUGGGAUUAGCUAGUAGGUGGGGUAAUGGCUCACCUAGGCGACGAUCCCUAGCUGGUCUGAGAGGAUGACCAGUCACACUGGAACUGAGACACGGUCCAGACUCCUACGGGAGGCAGCAGUGGGGAAUAUUGGACAAUGGGCGCAAGCCUGAUGCAGCCAUGCCGCGUGUGUGAAGAAGGCCUUCGGGUUGUAAAGCACUGUAAGUCGGGAGGCGUUACCGACAGAAGAAGCACCGGCUAACUCCGUGCCAGCCGCCGCGGUAAUUC
rnacentral:rRNA from 1 species